rnacentral:lncRNA from 1 species
GGGGCCUGCCGGGAACUGGAGUGCGCCCCGCGGCCUUUUGCGCAGGCGCCGAAGCCACACCGCGAAGUACCGUUUUUUCAGGCACAAGGAAGGUUUCACCCCGUUGCCGAAAGACUAAGCGUCCCGUUGGCCAGUGCAACGAAGAACGGAGGAAGCGACGCAGUGGCCUUGUGUGGGCCUUCAGCUUCCAGUUCCAUGGCCUGGUGGAGGACCCUGUGGUGCAAGCCUUCCUCCAGACCCCCCUGGCCUGGGGCCCAAGACUGGGAAGCCUUUGAAGAUUUCAGUUUGUAAGUAGUGAGAGCAAUGAUCUUGGCUUUGCAUGGUGCUCAGGAAGCCUUCCCCGCUCCCAAACCAGAAAGGAAUCCAUCCAGAUUUUCCUCCACUGUCUGGAUGGCCGCUCUGUGGAUGCUUCCAUCUGUAUCCAUUGCCGGCACCUGGUGAGGGAUAUUGCUCAGCCAAAGGGCCAGCAUCCCAGUGAAGAAGAUCAGAAAGAGGCUUCCGAUUCCGUCUCUAGAGCCUUUGAGGUCACUCCUGACGCUGACAUGGCUGUGAAGAGCUGGGUGCCAGGCAUUACUGCCUCCAAGGUUGCUUUGCGAGGAAUAGGUGGGGCAUCAGGAAGAAGCCAGUUGCAGGCAAGGCCUCUGCUGAUGCUGCUUUUUUCUCCUGUACCCAUCCAUGGGAGGGAGCUGUGAGAUGGCCUGGCAGAACCCGCUCUUGGACCCCACAGAAUGAGAGGCUCACCCUGCACAGGAACAUCCUGGGGCAGCAGGCUCAGCACAUUUUAAAUUUUGAGUAUGAACAAAGUAAACUUCAGGGUUAAAAAAAAACACAAAAAUUUGUCGAGC